GCAAGUCGAGCGGAAACGAAGAAAAGCUUGCUUUUCAGGCGUCGAGCGGCGGACGGGUGAGUAACGCGUAGGAAUCUGCCUAGUAGUGGGGGACAACCUGUGGAAACGCAGGCUAAUACCGCAUAAUCCCUGAGGGGGAAAGGAGGGGAUCUUCGGACCUUUCGCUAUUAGAUGAGCCUGCGUGAGAUUAGCUAGUUGGUGAGGUAAAGGCCUACCAAGGCGACGAUCAGUAGCUGGUCUGAGAGGACGACC
rnacentral:rRNA from 1 species